GAAUUCGCCCUUAGAGUUUGAUCCUGGCUCAGGACGAACGCUGGCGGCGCGCCUAACACAUGCAAGUCGAACGGAGCUGAGAGGAGCUUGCUUUUCUUAGCUUAGUGGCGAACGGGUGAGUAACGCGUGAGUAACCUGCCCUGGAGUGGGGGACAACAGUUGGAAACGACUGCUAAUACCGCAUAAGCCCACGAUCCGGCAUCGGAUUGAGGGAAAAGGAUUUAUUCGCUUCAGGAUGGACUCGCGUCCAAUUAGCUAGUUGGUGAGGUAACGGCCCACCAAGGCGACGAUUGGUAGCCGGACUGAGAGGUUGAACGGCCACAUUGGGACUGAGACACGGCCCAGACUCCUACGGGAGGCAGCAGUGGGGGAUAUUGCACAAUGGGGGAAACCCUGAUGCAGCGACGCCGCGUGGAGGAAGAAGGUUUUCGAAUUGUAAACUCCUGUCGUUAGGGACGAUAAUGACGGUACCUAACAAGAAAGCACCGGCUAACUACGUGCCAGCAGCCGCGGUAAAACGUAGGGUGCAAGCGUUGUCCGGAAUUACUGGGUGUAAAGGGAGCGCAGGCGGACCGGCAAGUUGGAAGUGAAAACUAUGGGCUCAACCCAUAAAUUGCUUUCAAAACUGCUGGCCUUGAGUAGUGCAGAGGUAGGUGGAAUUCCCGGUGUAGCGGUGGAAUGCGUAGAUAUCGGGAGGAACACCAGUGGCGAAGGCGACCUACUGGGCACCAACUGACGCUGAGGCUCGAAAGCAUGGGUAGCAAACAGGAUUAGAUACCCUGGUAGUCCAUGCCGUAAACGAUGAUUACU
rnacentral:rRNA from 1 species